rnacentral:rRNA from 1 species
GAUGAACGCUGGCGGCGUGCCUAAUACAUGCAAGUCGAGCGAACGGAUGAAGUGCUUGCACUUCUGACGUUAGCGGCGAACGGGUGAGUAACACGUAAGGAAUCUACCUACAAGCGGGGGAUAACAUUCGGAAACGGGUGCUAAUACCGCAUAAUAUCUUCUUCCGCAUGGAAGAAGAUUGAAAGACGGCUCUGCUGUCACUUAUAGAUGACCUUGCGGUGCAUUAGUUAGUUGGUGGGGCAAUGGCCUACCAAGACGAUGAUGCAUAGCCGACCUGAGAGGGUGAUCGGCCACAUUGGGACUGAGACACGGCCCAAACUCCUACGGGAGGCAGCAGUAGGGAAUCUUCCGCAAUGGGCGAAAGCCUGACGGAGCAAUGCCGCGUGAGUGAAGAAGGCCUUCGGGUCGUAAAACUCUGUUAUAAGAGAAGAACAAAUUGUAGAGUAACUGCUACAGUCUUGACGGUAUCUUAUCAGAAAGCCACGGCUAACUACGUGCCAGCCGCCGCCGUAA